rnacentral:lncRNA from 1 species
AGUCGCUUGUGGCGGUGUUUGACGAUGACUUUAUUUAAAGCAAGCGAGAUGGCUAUAGUACAUUUUUUUCUUUUUUGUUUUUCAAACCUUCUCUCUACCCUUCUAUCCCCUCCUCUUGUUCUCCGUAAUCCCAUCCCCCUCCCUCUCUUGUGAGAGGUGUGAGACCGUAGGAGAGCGGUGACCUCCAUGCCAUCCUCACCCUCGGCCUCCCUGCCGCCCCUGUUUCCUAUUUUUGCUUGUGGAGUUGGGGCAUGGGACCGAAGGUGGGGUGAUGGAAGA